CUGGUAGUUUGAGCUCCAUUGAUCCAUUUAAUGCCUUCUUGAAGUAUCCGCUCUUUGAAAGCAAUGGUUGCUGCAUCAGAGAACAGAAGAUCAAAGAUUUUACCGUUAGCCCACACCCUAGCAGACACAGGGUCCCAACAUUUGGAGAGCACAAAGGACUUGAAACCAAUGAACUAGUUUUUGGGCUUUCAGCAUCCAUUGCCAGCAGAGCUUAGAGAGGAGCAUUCACGACCGGAACCAUUCACUGAUACUCGUCAAACCAGUCAAUCAGUCACUACUUGGUGCAAGUAUGUGCAGAAAGCUCUACGAAUUUAACAGCCAAUUGACAGUCAGAGAAAGCAACAGAGUCCCCGACGAUCCGUCUCAAGGAACGAACAAAUAGUACCGUCGCCCUUUUAGAACUCAAAAAACCAGUAGAGGAAGAAAGGCGAAUAGAGAGAAACGAGGUGGUUUUAUCGGUUACACUCGUGCAGGUUAGUCAAAAAGUCAAAAUGCGCACGAGUGGACUCGAUCCCAAAUUUUAAGGCUUCAAGCUCCCAAGGCGUCCUCGGGUAUUUUUUUGUUGAAAAUUGAAAUCUCUUCCCAUUCUCAACUGAACUUACAAUACACCCUCCAACAGUCUAAACUCCACACUCCUACUGAAUCAACACUUCUCUACUCCAACAAGUUGAUUGUAUAAUCUCACCUCUACCUUAAGUUUGCCUAACUGAACAAAUUGAUUGUAUAAUCAACCACGUUCGAUCCCAAUUUGGAAGGCCGUCA